UGGCGGCGUGCCUAAUACAUGCAAGUCGAGCGGAUGACAGAGGAGCUUACUCCUCUAGAUUCAGCGGCGGACGGGUGAGUAACACGUGGGCANCCUGCCCUGUAGAUUGGGAUAACUCCGGGAAACCGGGGAUAAUACCGGAUAAUCCUUCGGCCCCCAUGGUCCGAUGUUGAAAGGCGGCAUCUCGCUGUCACUACAGGAUGGGCCCGCGGCUGCAUUAGCUAGNNGGUGAGGUACACGGCUCACCAAGNCCANGAUGNGUAGCCGACCUGAGAGGGUGAUCGNCCNCACNGNGACNGAGACNCGGCCCAGANUCCUACGGGAGGCANCAGUAGGNAAUNUUCCACAAUGGCNGAAAGUCUGAUGGAGCAACGCCGCGUGAGUGAAGAAGGUUCUCGGAUNGUANAACUCNGUUGUGAGGGAAGAACAAGUNCCGGAGUAACUGCCGGUACCUGACGGA
rnacentral:rRNA from 1 species